AAAGGAAUUUUGGGGAGUAGCCGUUCAGCAACUACUUCUCUCCCAAAUGUCCCUCUACAAGAGAUCUCAUCCUCACAAAACUUGAAGAAUCACCUUCUUCUCCAAACCCUUCUCACGCACACCUCCCCCAUGGUUCUCCCCUUCACAACGAGACACACUAACCACUCUACUGUUGCCUUCAUAUCAAACAAACCACACAUUUUUUUUAAAUGUUAAGUAGCGAAAAUUUCGUUUGAAUCCCAUUUCAAAUUUCCUUUUUGUUCUGUGUAAUCGUUGAAACCGUGUUCGCGUCCACAUACAUCAUCAUUCAAAGACUUUUUUUUUGGAAACUAUAACACCUUCUCGAUCAAGAAUCAAAAGGCGUUUUUAUUUUUUAUUUGGAAGUAGUAUAUAAACAAACUCUACGAGAUCGACACCCUCACCCUCACAGCGCCGUUUCGUAUCACCUACACCAUCACCGGAGUACCAUACGUCGCCGGAAAACAUCAAGUGGUCACGACAUCGUUCGGUAUACCCUUCUUAUCUUUUGUUUACUUGUUUAAUCCUUGAUGCUUGUUCGACACUAAUAUUUUAUCAAACACCUGCAACGUCGGAGCUCGAGAACAACCUUCUUCGGAACCUUCUGCAACUCGCUGGAACUUGCAAGACUUCGUCGGAGAACGGAGAAGACGACCGGAGACCCACGACUCUUCUCUUUCUGUUUCGGUGUAUCUCGUUUCCUACUACAUUUCAUUUGUUUAAAUGAUUGUUGUCCUACAUGCCUUUCAAAAUGGAGCUGAAACAAAAAAAAAAAAAAAGAAUAUAUAAACAAACAGGUACUGUUCGAUCAUUUUGUUUUAAUAAUAAGGAUGGCCACUGGCUCUUGUUUAAAAGAAUUGAUGAUUAUAAUCCAACACAAAAAUCGAUUGCAGUCCAGUGGUUGUUGUUGUUAUUAAAACACCGGAGGUCUCGAGCUCGAGACCUGCUUCUUGCCUUUUUGAACCAUUUUUGGUUGUCGAAGCCUUAUUACCAUUUUGCUGAUUAUAUUUCAUCUUUCUUUUCAAAAAAAUACAAAUAAUGAUCAACAGUUUCUUUUUUUUUAUUUUAAUUUUCUUUUAUAUAAUAAAUAUAUUCUAAACCUUUUAAAAACAUUAAAGGGUUAUAAUGACAUACAUUAUAAAAUUUAAAUAAACAAGUUGUAAACAAUAAAUAAUUAAGAUUUUAUUUAAUCUACGACUCUUAACGGGUUUUUACGUGUUAUUUUAAGAUAUCUAGGAUAAUCUCUCUCGUUCGUUCCCUUGGAUUCUCAUUCUUUACUUGUACGUUACAAGAAAUCGCAACGCAACCAAUGAUUGUGACAGAUGAAUCCAGUAGGAUUGCCUAGAAACGCAUUUAAACUUUGUUGCUCGAUGUAUUGUAAUUUACUUUUGAUUCUGUUGUAUUCUGGUUCCAUUACUUGUAAUAAUUCAUUAUUAAUGAAAUGAAUUAUAAUUUAUUUAUGUA